rnacentral:rRNA from 1 species
AGUGAACGCUGGCGGUAGGCCUAACACAUGCAAGUCGAACGGCAGCACAGUAAGAGCUUGCUCUUACGGGUGGCGGGUGGCGGACGGGUGAGGCAUACAUCGGAAUCUACUUUUUCGUGGGGGAUAACGUAGGGAAACUUACGCUAAUACAGCAUACGACCUACGGGUGAAAGCAGGGGUUCUUCGGACCUUGCGCGAUUGAUUGAGCCGAUGUCGGAUUAGCUAGUUGGCGGGGUAAAGGCCCACCAGGGCGACGAUCCGUAGCUGGUCUGAGAGGAUGAUCAGCCACACUGGAACUGAGACACGGUCCAGACUCCUACGGGAGGCAGCAGUGGGGAAUAUUGGACAAUGGGCGCAAGCCUGAUCCAGCCAUACCGCGUGAGUGAAGAAGGCCUUCGGGUUGUAAAGCCCUUUUGUUGGGAAAGAAAAGCAGCAGGUUAAUACCCCGCUGUUCUGACGGUACCCAAAGAAUAAGCACCGGCUAACUUCGUG